GUAAGAAGUCCCCAGAGAUUUCAUCCCUUCCGGAGCCUGAUCGUAGAAGAAUUCGAGUUUCGCAACUUCCAGGAAGCAAUCCGCCACUCCCAGCAGAGCAAAUUGAGGCAUCAGUACGAAAAUGGUGAGUGGUACCUGGUCCAAUUUUUGUAGUUUGUUGUGUUGAUGUGCGGUUUCGAGCCUCUUUUGCUCGGCAAGGCAGGCAGAUACCAUGACCAUGAUCUGGAGGAUAAGUCCGAUCCCCAUUCUUUGGAGUAAAGCUGCUGGGAUUUCGAAAUUGGGUCCCAUGCUUCUGUCCAUUGUUGCUCCUUGUUUGAUGAACAUGGUUCCUGAUUGGGCUACUAUGGCGCUUGGGAUUAUUGUGAUUGCUAAGAUUGGGAGCAUCUUUAGCAUUUGCUUUGUUUCUUCCACUUGGGUUACUGGUGUUAGGUUCCAUGGUGAGCUUUUCCCUGUUCUUGCUGCUGCUUUGUCUAGAAACCUGCAUCCAAAAUUUUGCAUAUUAUAACUAAUUACAAGAACAUGAUUGCAGAAUUUCUAAUCAAGUUGGGAGAAAGAUGGUUUCUUUUUAUGGUGUGUCAACAAUUUGAGUUCUUUGGAUGAGUCAAUUACGGAUAACAUAUCAUGUCGGCUUCGUUUGGCAAGUGGAAAGUUCGAUGGAACCAAAGGGAAAGUUCACUCCCAAAGGCCAAAACCACUUGGUCGGGAUGCAUUAACUCGAAAUAUUAGGAUGAAUAAGCCUAUGGAAUGAGUGAUGAAAACAAAACAGUGGAUUACCUCAAGGAAGGGGUGUGAUCAACUGUGAACUUCCCGAGCUUAUCAUACUGAUCAGCACCAAGUUCAUAGAGCUGUUUGGGAUCAUCGGGAAGCUCAACGUUCCAUUUCCUAGUAGCAGCAACAAGCACUUGAGCCAUUUUAGUAAAAGGGCUUCCUGCAGGAAGCUUGUGCCUAUACAAAGGAGUCCCAAACAAGAACACAACUAUGGACAACCCAAGCCCUGCAGUGGGGAGUCCAUAGCCAAGCGUCCACCCGACACGGUCCUGAAGGUAAAUCAGGAAAGUGUUGGAGAAGAGCGUGCCAAAGAAGAUGCUGAACAUCCACCAGUUGAAGAAGGAUAGCUUGUGAGUUCUCUCCUUAGGCUCAAACUCAUCAAACUGGUCUGCCCCCAUUGUGGAAAUGUUCGGCUUGGUUCCACCUGUUCCGAUCGCUAUUAUGUACAGUGCGAAGUAGAAUAUGCCCUUUUGUAAGGACGAGGGCUGGAUGUCGCACCCUGGAUCGCUCUCUGGGCAUGUCGGAGGUUUCAGGCCCGGUAUUGUGACCACCAGGGUUAGCAGUAUCAUCCCCUGCAAGGAUUCUAUAAUUAGUUCUCUUCUAUCGAUUCAAAGUUUUUUACUUUUUAUUUUCAGAUGAGAUGGUUCGUUACUUACGGAAAGAUAGAUGGAAGAGGCAACGACGAAGGUCCAGAAUCGGCCUAAGUGAGCAUCAGCUACGUAAGCACCCAAGAUGGGGAGAAUCCAGACGGUACCAGCCCAGUCUGUGACGUUGUUA
rnacentral:lncRNA from 1 species